UACGUAGGGUGCAAGCGUUAAUCGGAAUUACUGGGCGUAAAGCGUGCGCAGGCGGUUUGUUAAGACGGAUGUGAAAUCCCCGGGCUCAACCUGGGAACUGCAUUCGUGACUGGCAGGCUAGAGUAUGGCAGAGGGGGGUGGAAUUCCACGUGUAGCAGUGAAAUGCGUAGAGAUGUGGAGGAACACCGAUGGCGAAGGCAGCCCCCUGGGCCAAUACUGACGCUCAUGCACGAAAGCGUGGGGAGCAAACAGG
rnacentral:rRNA from 1 species